AAUGGGUCAGCGACUUAUAUUCUGUAGCAAGGUUAACCGAAUAGGGGAGCCGCAGGGAAACCGAGUCUUAAUUGGGCGUUAAGUUGCAGGGUAUAGACCCGAAACCCGGUGAUCUAGCCAUGGGCAGGUUGAAGGUUGGGUAACACUAACUGGAGGACCGAACCGACUAAUGUUGAAAAAUUAGCGGAUGACCUGUGGCUGGGGGUGAAAGGCCAAUCAAACCGGGAGAUAGCUGGUUCUCCCCGAAAGCUAUUUAGGUAGCGCCUCGUGAAUUCAUCUCCGGGGGUAGAGCACUGUUUCGGCUAGGGGGCCAUCCCGGCUUACCAACCCGAUGCAAACUGCGAAUACCGGAGAAUGUUAUCACGGGAGACACACGGCGGGUGCUAACGUCCGUCGUGAAGAGGGAAACAACCCAGACCGCCAGCUAAGGUCCCAAAGUCAUGGUUAAGUGGGAAACGAUGUGGGAAGGCCCAGACAGCCAGGAUGUUGGCUUAGAAGCAGCCAUCAUUUAAAGAAAGCGUAAUAGCUCACUGGUCGAGUCGGCCUGCGCGGAAGAUGUAACGGGGCUAAACCAUGCACCGAAGCUGCGGCAGCGACGCUGAUGCGUUGUUGGGUAGGGGAGCGUUCUGUAAGCCUGUGAAGGUGUGUCGUGAGGC
rnacentral:rRNA from 1 species